rnacentral:rRNA from 1 species
UGGGGAAUUUUGCGCAAUGGGGGAAACCCUGACGCAGCAACGCCGCGUGCGGGACGAAGGCCCUCGGGUCGUAAACCGCUUUCAGCAGGGAAGACCUUACGACGGUACCUGCAGAAGAAGCUCCGGCUAACUACGUGCCAGCAGCCGCGGUAAUACGUAGGGGGCGAGCGUUAUCCGGAUUCAUUGGGCGUAAAGCGCGCGUAGGCGGCCGCCUAAGCGGAACCUCUAACCCCGGGGCUCAACCUCGGGCCGGGUUCCGGACUGGGCGGCUCGAGUGCGGUAGAGGAGAGCGGAAUUCCCGGU